rnacentral:misc_RNA from 1 species
ACCUUGUGCCUGAAACAAAGGCGCACACCUAGAUGUAUAAGGUGCUAGGAUUCAAGCCUAGUGAGCCUUGAGCCUGAGACACACCUUUAAUAACUAUGAACAAAAUUGCAUAUUACAAAUUUACCAUCUCCAAAUUCAUCUCCCUACCUCUCAAUCCUGCAAUGGCUUUGAUGAACUCAUUCAGCCAACUUGUUAACCUAUGAAGCCUUUACAAUUCAACUCAAAAAAGGCAAAUCUUGGGUUCUCCCUGUUGUGAUUACCUAUGGACAAUGGACAUUCACUUAAAAAAUAGACAAUUGUUGGCUUGAUGCUAGAUUCACUCCUAGUCUUUCAAAGUGUUAAAAUAUGAUCUAUCCAUCAACUUAUUUGAAGGACUCAGAUUACUUAGACCAAAACUACACUUCUUAUUCCACUCUUGCAAAGAAAGCACAACCACCAACUAAGAUAAUUUGGCUCAUCAAGAAAAGUGAAAUAAAUGUAAUUGGAUCAUAAUUCACAGCACUUUAAGUGAAAGAGGACGUGAUCUCUUCCAUAGGAAUCUUGUAAAAGUAAAGGAUAGGAAAAAGAAAAUGUCAGAAACAAAAAGGAAGAACAAAAAUAUGUAUAAGAUUAGCUAAUAUGCACUGAAGAAUGAAAUUUAGAUCAGAAAUUAGAUCCAAUAUGACAUUAAAUGACCACGAUAUCAAUGAAAAACCUUUUAGAUAAAAAUUAACAAUGCAGGAUCAUCACCAGUGCAACCAAUCUAAUAGAAAACAUACCAAUAUUUGCAGUA